rnacentral:rRNA from 1 species
ACGGGUGAGUAAAGCGUAGGAAUCUACCUAGUGGAUUGGGAUAGCUUAGGGAAACUUAGGGUAAUACCAAAUAAGCCUGAGAGGGGAAAGCAGGGGACUGUAAGAGGCCUUGCGCGAUUAGAUGAGCCUACGUCGGAUUAGCUAGUUGGUGGGGUAAAGGCCUACCAAGGCGACGAUCCGUAGCUGGUCUGAGAGGACGACCAGCCACACUGGGACUGAGACACGGCCCAGACUCCUACGGGAGGCAGCAGUGGGGAAUAUUGGACAAUGGGCGGAAGCCUGAUCCAGCAAUGCCGCGUGUGUGAAGAAGGCCUGCGGGUUGUAAAGCACUUUCGGUGGGGAGAAAGAGGUUUGUGUUAAUAACACAAACGGAUGAUGUUACCCACAGAAGAAGCACCGGCUAACUCUGUGCCAGCAGCCGCGGUAAUACAGAGGGUGCGAGCGUUAAUCGGAAUUACUGGGCGUAAAGGGUGCGUAGGUGGUUGAAUAAGUUAGGUGUGAAAGUCCCGGGCUUAACCUGGGGAUUGCGCCUGAUACUGUUUGGCUAGAGUACUGUAGAGGGAAGUGGAAUUUCCGGUGUAGCG